ensembl:lincRNA
UAACCCUCCUCCAGAUUGAAUAUCUGGCAGCUCUAAGAAUUCUUAUCUCUUUGGUGCAGAGAUCCAAAAUUGCUGUGUAUGAGAAAAUGUGGUCUUACAUGAAAUCAGCGGAGCCAUCUGUGUUUACCAAAACAACAGCAGACGGAGUGGCCCGAGUGCGAAAGUCCAAGGGAAAGUUCGCCUUCCUGCUGGAGUCAACCAUGAAUGAGUACAUUGAGCAGAGAAAACCAUGUGAUACGAUGAAAGUUGGUGGAAAUCUGGAUUCCAAAGGCUAUGGUGUGGCAACCCCUAAAGGCUCAGCAUUAAGAAAUGCUGUUAACCUGGCAGUAUUAAAACUGAAUGAGCAAGGCCUCUUGGACAAAUUGAAAAACAAAUGGUGGUACGACAAAGGAGAGUGCGGCAGCGGGGGCGGUGACUCCAAGGACAAGACCAGUGCUCUGAGCCUGAGCAAUGUGGCAGGCGUUUUCUAUAUACUUGUCGGAGGUCUGGGGCUGGCCAUGAUGGUGGCUUUGAUAGAAUUCUGUUACAAAUCACGGGCAGAGUCCAAACGCAUGAAACUCACAAAGAACACCCAAAACUUUAAGCCUGCUCCUGCCACCAACACUCAGAAUUAUGCUACAUACAGAGAAGGCUACAACGUGUAUGGAACAGAGAGUGUUAAGAUCUAGGGAUCCCUUCCCACUGGAGGCAUGUGAUGAGAGGAAAUCACCGAAAACGUGGCUGCUUCAAGGAUCCUGAGCCAGAUUUCACUCUCCUUGGUGUCGGGCAUGACACGAAUAUUGCUGAUGGUGCAAUGACCUUUCAAUAGGAAAAACUGAUUUUUUUUUCCUUCAGUGCCUUAUGGAACACUCUGAGACUCGCGACAAUGCAAACCAUCAUUGAAAUCUUUUUUGCUUUGCUUGAAAAAAAUAAUUAAAAUAAAAACCAACAAAAAAUGGACAUGCAAGAUUCCAGUAUGCGAAAAAAAAAUCUUAUUAAGUCAAUCCAACAAAAGCCAUUCUUUGAUACCACUGCAGAGUAUACAAACACCAUGUUCUUUAAUACACACACACACACACACACACACACACACAUUUAUAUUCCAAUUCAGAAAAGAGGCCCAUCUACCAUAAAAGAAUUAAUUCUUCCUGAUUAAAAAGAAAAAAUCUGUCUCCCAGUGUUUGGGAAGACGGACUGGCAUUUCUUCUAGGAUCUGCUGACCAGAUGUUUUUGGUAUUUCCUGUUGGUGGUGAUGUUCUGUGCACCCUAUUUCCUUUCAAUGUUGCUGAAAUGUGUAUAUCUUUAGAAUGUAAAUGCAACACUUAAGAAAAUUCAAACACUUUGGAAAAGGGACUAAACAGUGACUUCUCUGUGUUCUCGAAAUGGUUUUGUGAAAACACUUUGAUAACUUUCCACUCAAUGAAGAGAUUUACAGAGCUUUCGAAAUUGACUUUGUGUGUAGCAAGGGACGGGGCACUAUCAGGAUACCUCUUGGUGCUUUCCUAAAGUGGAUCCCGGGGUUUUCCAAGGAGCCUGGAAUUUCAGCUCACAGAUCUGUUUUUCUUGCUUCAGUGUGCAUUUUAAGUCAAUAGAGCUGAGUAUCUAGCAUUGAGGUGAGGGAAAUGCUGCCUAUACUCCCAGAUGUGUUUAGAGUAUCUCAGAAACAACACUGUGUUUAGCUCGGCUUUCUCUGCUAAGUAUGCCUUUCAAGUGUACACCACGGAGACAGGACUGCAUUGCAAGGCGGGAUAGCAGGUUCAGACCACAGUUCUCAGUCUGACUUUACUCUUGCUAGGUCUGUCCUACUAGCUGUUGCCUGCUACCGCCCAUGGCUCUCCAUCGGACUGCAUGUGUCCUUUUCUAGUUUGCAAAGACUAAAAUGCAUUCCCAAACCUACUGCUAAUCUGAGGGCCUCAGCAUCAUUUCCAGAUCCUUGCUUGGAGCAGUCUCUCUAUUGACUCUCUCAGAUCGCUCCACUGCUCCAUGGGCUAUCAAGUAACUAACUGCAUACCUGCCGUUGGCAUCAUCAGAACAGUCCGAAGAAAUAGUCUCCACUCACUAAUUACCUCCUAUAUAACGACGUAUGCUUCCUGUAGUUCAGUAGUUUUCUCUCAUCAGUAACGUGCAUUGGGAAGUUUCCAGACUGCAAAAACUAGGAGCUCGCAUUCAUUUCCCAAGUGUGACCCUUAGAUGCUUAGUUGACUCGCUGCAUAUUUGCUCUUGUCUUCAGAAAAGAAAGGAAGAAGUAUCGUUCCAACGAAAUGUUUCCAGAAAAGUGUAAUAUAAACUUUCAUUCCAAAAAUGGUGUCAUAAGCAAACAACUCACUUAUCAAAUUUCAAAUGGUAUUGAACAAAAAAAGAAGGCUGUUGUGUUUUUGUUUUGUUUUGUUUUCAUGAAACUGUGAUUUUCAACUUAUAAAUGCUAUAAUGUCCCAGCGCAGGAAGCUCACGCUGUGUGAACACGAAGUUGUAUAAAACAAACCAACCAACCUACACACAAACGUUUUCAUAGGCACUGUAUAAAGAAAAAUGUAUGUUUAUUAACUCAAAUCAGUUUUUCAGAGAGGAAACUUCACUGAGAUGAAGAGGCGGGUAAAUUGGUUUGUUAUUUUUUAAAAAAACUUGCAUGUUUAAAAAAAACGUUGAUUGCUUCAAAUUUCUGCUACUAACUUCAAGCUAUGGGAGUUUGGCAGUAGUCACUUGAGGAUUUUUUUUUCCAAUUCUUUUCUUUUUGUUGUUAAAGCUGUACUUCAGUGAACAGAAAAAUUGCCAAGCAAACUAAUGGCUAUAAAAGGGUAAAUUGCAUGUGUGGGCAUANUGGUGAUGUUCUGUGCACCCUAUUUCCUUUCAAUGUUGCUGAAAUGUGUAUAUCUUUAGAAUGUAAAUGCAACACUUAAGAAAAUUCAAACACUUUGGAAAAGGGACUAAACAGUGACUUCUCUGUGUUCUCGAAAUGGUUUUGUGAAAACACUUUGAUAACUUUCCACUCAAUGAAGAGAUUUACAGAGCUUUCGAAAUUGACUUUGUGUGUAGCAAGGGACGGGGCACUAUCAGGAUACCUCUUGGUGCUUUCCUAAAGUGGAUCCCGGGGUUUUCCAAGGAGCCUGGAAUUUCAGCUCACAGAUCUGUUUUUCUUGCUUCAGUGUGCAUUUUAAGUCAAUAGAGCUGAGUAUCUAGCAUUGAGGUGAGGGAAAUGCUGCCUAUACUCCCAGAUGUGUUUAGAGUAUCUCAGAAACAACACUGUGUUUAGCUCGGCUUUCUCUGCUAAGUAUGCCUUUCAAGUGUACACCACGGAGACAGGACUGCAUUGCAAGGCGGGAUAGCAGGUUCAGACCACAGUUCUCAGUCUGACUUUACUCUUGCUAGGUCUGUCCUACUAGCUGUUGCCUGCUACCGCCCAUGGCUCUCCAUCGGACUGCAUGUGUCCUUUUCUAGUUUGCAAAGACUAAAAUGCAUUCCCAAACCUACUGCUAAUCUGAGGGCCUCAGCAUCAUUUCCAGAUCCUUGCUUGGAGCAGUCUCUCUAUUGACUCUCUCAGAUCGCUCCACUGCUCCAUGGGCUAUCAAGUAACUAACUGCAUACCUGCCGUUGGCAUCAUCAGAACAGUCCGAAGAAAUAGUCUCCACUCACUAAUUACCUCCUAUAUAACGACGUAUGCUUCCUGUAGUUCAGUAGUUUUCUCUCAUCAGUAACGUGCAUUGGGAAGUUUCCAGACUGCAAAAACUAGGAGCUCGCAUUCAUUUCCCAAGUGUGACCCUUAGAUGCUUAGUUGACUCGCUGCAUAUUUGCUCUUGUCUUCAGAAAAGAAAGGAAGAAGUAUCGUUCCAACGAAAUGUUUCCAGAAAAGUGUAAUAUAAACUUUCAUUCCAAAAAUGGUGUCAUAAGCAAACAACUCACUUAUCAAAUUUCAAAUGGUAUUGAACAAAAAAAGAAGGCUGUUGUGUUUUUGUUUUGUUUUGUUUUCAUGAAACUGUGAUUUUCAACUUAUAAAUGCUAUAAUGUCCCAGCGCAGGAAGCUCACGCUGUGUGAACACGAAGUUGUAUAAAACAAACCAACCAACCUACACACAAACGUUUUCAUAGGCACUGUAUAAAGAAAAAUGUAUGUUUAUUAACUCAAAUCAGUUUUUCAGAGAGGAAACUUCACUGAGAUGAAGAGGCGGGUAAAUUGGUUUGUUAUUUUUUAAAAAAACUUGCAUGUUUAAAAAAAACGUUGAUUGCUUCAAAUUUCUGCUACUAACUUCAAGCUAUGGGAGUUUGGCAGUAGUCACUUGAGGAUUUUUUUUUCCAAUUCUUUUCUUUUGUUGUUAAAGCUGUACUUCAGUGAACAGAAAAUUGCCAAGCAAACUAAUGGCUAUAAAAGGGUAAAUUGCAUGUGUGGGCAUAAAUUACAGAGCCUCAUUGCCAUGAGGUAUUGUACAAAGUUUUAAUACAUUUUGUAAAUAAAAUUGUAAAGA